UAUAUUGAGAGUUUGAUCCUGGCUCAGGACGAACGCUGGCGGCGUGCUUAACACAUGCAAGUCGAGCGAUGAAGUCUCUUCGGGGACGGAUUAGCGGCGGACGGGUGAGUAACACGUGGGUAACCUGCC
rnacentral:ncRNA from 1 species